rnacentral:lncRNA from 10 species
CGACCACGGGCGCCUGCCCCGCCCCGCCCCGGACACGAAAAGAGCCGAGCGCACGGCGGAAGCGCCCGAAGAGUUCGCGGAGCCCGGCGCCCAGUUGCCGGGGAGGAGGGCCAGCCGCCGGCAAGGGGGCGCCGAGCUGCUGGUGCGGGCGGGAGUCGGGGCUGCUCCUCCGCGCGGGCCCGCCGGCCCCUCCCCACAAGCCAGCCCCACAGCUGCCGCCCGGGUAGCUUCCCGCAGACGCCGUAGGUAGCACGCGAUGGAACGCGGCGGAGGGGAGCGUGGACACGGCUGCCGGGCGCUGCGGCCAUCGGCGCCCUGGACGCCCGCUCCGGCCUUCGGGGCCGGAUAUCCCCACUCUCGCGGGCUCUUUCGCGUGGACCCCUCCUCCGGCCGACACUCACACUGCGGUGAACGCCAGUCAGCUGGCGUGAAAUAAGGUCGCUGGGAAGGCACCAAGUCACCAAGGUGGGGGAUGGCCAGGUCGUGGUAGUUGCGACAAAGAAAAAUAUAAGUCACAUUGCAUUUGUUUCUCGCCCACCCACCGCUCCCGGCGUCUCUUCCCGGGCUCCUUGCCAGCGUGCCGAGGCGCAGGCAGGGUGAUGGAGGCUCCCCGGCCGGGAGGAUCUGCCGGGGAGAGCGGCUUCCCUCAUCGAUUCGGGAGCGCCAGGCCCGGCGCGCCCGGGCUCCUGUGACCUGCGAGCCCGCGAAUUCCAGCGGCAUAAGAUAAGGAGCGGCGAGGGCCCAACAGGACUGAGGCCACCAAGCCUAUUUGAGAUGGAGGGUACUGGGGGAGACGUCAUAAGUGAGCAG